rnacentral:rRNA from 1 species
GACGAACGCUGGCGGCGUGCCUAAUACAUGCAAGUCGAGCGGAGUUAUUCCUUCGGGGAUAGCUUAGCGGCGGACGGGUGAGUAACACGUAGGCAACCUGCCUGUAAGACUGGGAUAACCCACGGAAACGUGAGCUAAUACCGGAUAGGUAAGCUCCUCGCAUGAGGGACUUAAGAAAGGCGGAGCAAUCUGCCACUUACAGAUGGGCCUGCGGCGCAUUAGCUAGUAGGUGAGGUAAUGGCUCACCUAGGCGACGAUGCGUAGCCGACCUGAGAGGGUGAACGGCCACACUGGGACUGAGACACGGCCCAGACUCCUACGGGAGGCAGCAGUAGGGAAUCUUCCGCAAUGGACGAAAGUCUGACGGAGCAACGCCGCGUGAGUGAUGAAGGUUUUCGGAUCGUAAAGCUCUGUUGCCAGGGAAGAACGCUUGGGAGAGUAACUGCUCUCAAGGUGACGGUACCUGAGAAGAAAGCCCCGGCUAACUACGUGCCAGCCGCCGCCGUAAAAC